AACUACUUGUUUGACAACUAAUUUCUAACACUCAAUACUAUUGUCAAUGCUUCGUAGUGGUACCAAAAUAUAAUUGUUAUUUUACUUACUUUUCAAAUUCUACCUAAAUUAAACUUGUAAAGGGGAGUUUGAACACAUAGAAAGACUAUGCGCAUGAAUUUAUACAUUAGGAUCACACAAUUAAUUAUCCUUUUUUCUACUAAAAAUACCUCAAAAUACUACAAUGCCUUCCACAUUCUAUCAAUUCUUCUUCUAAUAAAUAAAAUAUUACAAUUAAUAAUUCUAUCUAAUACAUUCACUAUCUCUUCUCCUCUCUAAACUCAUAAUAAUGACAUGUAAUAUUAUAUUAUCUUAAAAGAUUGCAUAAAAUAUUCUAUAAUCCAAUCACUAAAAAUUUUCAAAAUUAACUAUCAUUC
rnacentral:lncRNA from 1 species